rnacentral:rRNA from 1 species
UGAGGAAUAUUGGUCAAUGGGCGGAAGCCUGAACCAGCCAAGUCGCGUGAGGGAAGAAGGCCCUGCGGUCGCAGACCUCUUUGGACGGGGAGCAAGGCCGCGGACGUGUCCGCGGAAGGAGAGUACCCGUAGAACAAGCAUCGGCUAACUCCGUGCCAGCAGCCGCGUAAU